rnacentral:tRNA from 1 species
GAGGGUAUAGCUCAGUGGUAGUGUGCUCAGCAUUCAAGAGGUCCUGGGUUCAAUCCCCAGUACCUCCA